AGUGAACGCUGGCGGUAGGCCUAACACAUGCAAGUCGAACGGCAGCACAGUAAGAGCUUGCUCUUACGGGUGGCGAGUGGCGGACGGGUGAGGAAUACAUCGGAAUCUACUUUUUCGUGGGGGAUAACGUAGGGAAACUUACGCUAAUACCGCAUACGACCUACGGGUGAAAGCAGGGGAUCUUCGGACCUUGCGCGAUUGAACGAGCCGAUGUCGGAUUAGCUAGUUGGCGGGGUAAAGGCCCACCAAGGCGACGAUCCGUAGCUGGUCUGAGAGGAUGAUCAGCGACACUGGAACUGAGACACGGUCCAGACUCCUACGGGAGGCAGCAGUGGGGAAUAUUGGACAAUGGGCGCAAGCCUGAUCCAGCCAUACCGCGUGGGUGAAGAAGGCCUUCGGGUUGUAAAGCCCUUUUGUUGGGAAAGAAAAGCAGCAGGUUAAUACCCCGCUGUUCUGACGGUACCCAAAGAAUAAGCACCGGCUAACUUCGUG
rnacentral:rRNA from 1 species